AGAGUUUGAUCAUGGCUCAGGAUGAACGCUGGCGGCGUGCUUAACACAUGCAAGUCGAACGAACCUUCGGGUUAGUGGCGGACGGGUGAGUAACGCGUGGGAAUCUGCCCUCAGGAGGGGGAUAACGGUUGGAAACGACCGCUAAUACCCCAUAUGCCGAGAGGUGAAAUGAAUUUCGCCUGAGGAUGAGCCCGCGUCUGAUUAGCUUGUUGGUGGGGUAAUGGCUCACCAAGGCAUCGAUCAGUAGCUGGUCUGAGAGGAUGAUCAGCCACACUGGGACUGAGACACGGCCCAGACUCCUACGGGAGGCAGCAGUGGGGAAUUUUCCGCAAUGGGCGAAAGCCUGACGGAGCAACGCCGCGUGAGGGACGAAGGCCUCUGGGCUGUAGACCUCUUUUCUCAAGGAAGAAGAUAUGACGGUACUUGAGGAAUAAGCCACGGCUAAUUCCGUGCCAGCCGCCGCGGU
rnacentral:rRNA from 1 species